AGCACGCAUGAAUAGAGUCCAGCUCUCUAAUCGUCCGCAAGGACAAUUUGACAAUUUGACCUCAAAUCAGGUAGGACUACCCGCUG
rnacentral:rRNA from 1 species